GGAAAGAGGAGGCAGCCAGAGUGUUCUCUGCAGCAGAAGACCCCUUGCUGCACUGCUUAACCCAGACCAGCAUUUGUCAGCUUAUGAAAUACUUCUCAAGAGAUACUCAACAUUUCCUACCCAUUAUACAGAAGGGAAAGGGGCAGAAAUCUGGACUGUACCACUUUGGACUGCAGUUGGGCUUUGGAAUGCCAUGCAUGGUGAUUCGAGGCAACAAAGUAUGUGUGCAGAGACAAGAAGGACGCACAGGUGUACCUGUCACUAAUUCCAUGUGGGGCACACAUGGGGAAGAAGAAAGGCAGGGGAAGAGGAAAGCGGCACUGCCACAGG